UCGUAACAAUAGGUGAAAUAACAUGGCCAUUGAGAGGAAGUCGUGUGCAGUUUCUCGUCUGUCAGCCGUUGCCAGCCGACCACUUCCGCAUCCAGUCAGUCGAAACGUCUACUAAUCUACUUGGUAAUCUCGAUUAGCAUUUACACGGGCGACUUCAAGCGUCCUAUGUCUUUGUGCAACUCUCGUCCCGGUUCACUGAAGCGUUUAAACCUGAUCGAUCGGCAUAAGAAAUGGCUACAUAUAUCGAAGUCAACAGCGUGGCAUUCUCGCGCUCUUGCCAAUUAAGUGCCUGCGCGAGAUUCGAGUACGUGUAAGUUCGCGCGUAUUUUCCACGCUUUUCGUACAAUUCGUCCGUAGAUUCCUAACUUGUGAGUAAGUUGUGACUCUUAAAGAGUUCGCGAAGUGUUUCUUAGAAAGUUGCAGACAGUUUCAGUUGAGGAUUUUUACUACCUAUUUAUUUUUGUUUACGAUUAAUUAUGGCCUAAUCGAUAAAAUAAAUUUUCAUAAAAUAUUGAUUAUUAUCUAAGCUUGUCGAGGUCAUCUAGUUAAUUCCUUGGUACAUGUGUUUUUCUCUAGUUUGUUGAAAUAUUUAUGGGUAACGAUUGCAAAAAUUCCGCAAUGCGUGGACUUGGGCGUGGGCAUUUCUUUAAAGUAGAAAUAAUUUUUUAUUUCAAAUAAAUUCACUUCGACGUGGUAUAAAUAUCUGUAUAUACUUGAUCGUUGAUUGGAAUUACAAAUUUUUUGGCUUUCGAUUAUGCAUAGUACUUGGAACGUUAGAACUACUUAUUUUUUAUGUAUACCUAUAUACGUGUAUUAUAUUUAAACGAUUAUAAUUAAAGUGUUACGAUAAUAAUAAAGUAGAUAUAUAUACGUAAUCAGGUUUUGGUUUCAGGAAGAGGAUUAGUUUCGUCAGAAGAAUCAGAUACGUUUCUGAUAAUUGUAGAAACAACGAUUUAAUCUGUUGCCUUUGAAUUUUCUUGAGAACUACCUAAACCAUUCAAAUAUUCUAUGAAACUCGCAUUAAUCGAAACUAAUUUUCACUCUAUAUCGGUAGAACUAUAUUUAGAAUUCAAAGUAAACGUCAUUGCAGAUACAAAAUAUCUUCUUCAAGUUGAAAUCGUAAUUUUUACUACCAGUAUGAUUCAGACUACUUGAUGAUUUUAAACGAUCAGUAAAACGAGUAGUAAAAAAAGAAAAUCUGUCAGUUUAAUAAAUUACUAGCGUUUACUAGUUCUGGUAGUAGUUACUAACGUUAAAGUCAAACACAAACCGUGAAGGUUUUCAGGAUUAUGUAAUAUCAGUAAUGUCUAAAUAAAAGGAAAGUACAAUAAUAUAUGGAGGAACAUGGCGGAGAGUCACAGCUUGAACAUUGUAAAAGAGGAUUCAAUAAAUGUUGGAAAAUACUUUUUUAACACGGUGAAUGUUUAUGGAAUAAAUCGAACAAUUCCACAAAACAUUAAGACUUUCGAGGUAUUGGAUCGAUCACGGAUUAACCAUCUCCUCCAGGUUCUUAGAAAGAGAGCCGCCUUCUUGCGAUUAAACUUUCACUGUCGUCUGUUUUCCGCAUCGUGGCGUCAUUGUUUACUGUGUAAAACCGCACCAUAGAGAACACGAUCGUUUACCUUACGAUAGACAGCGAUUCUUUUACGCGCAAAGAUAAGAAGAUAGGUAACAGAAAGGGAGUAAAAAUAGAUUGCAGAGGAAAAUUUACAUGCUAUCGAGUUGCGGAUUUUACCAGCGCGAAAAGAUGGAAGUAGGUCGUUCGACUUUCACGGAAAUCGGAGCUUGCAAAAUCUUCCGAUUCGCGUUGAAGUUGCACGCUGUCAGCUCAAGAUCCACCGUCACGCAGAUAAGGGCUUAAAUAUUUCUUUUUUUUUUUUUCCUUUCCCUACUUUCCAUCGAGCACACGACUGUUCGAACGAGAACGAGGUAGAAGGAUGCAAGAAGAUAUAUUCGUGUGGUAAGCACGCUCUUUGUGGACAAAAGCAUGGCAUGCCGCAGUGCCGUUGGCGAAUAGCCAGCACAGAGAAAGAGAGAAAGAGAGAGAGAGAGCCUUUCUGGUUCUCGGUCUCCUCUGAUUCCCGAAAAUUCGCGGCCACUACUGCAUCUAGAAAAUGUCUUUCGAUAUCAUUUACGCAGCUGGUAAAAUGAUCCGAACUGAUUUGUUAAUCGCAUAGUGCACAUGCCUGUGGUAUUUCAAUUUCGUCAAUUAUUAAGAGUCGUUGGUCUUUAUUCAGAAAAAAUAUUUUUUCCUAAGAUUUUAAACUUACAAACACUGGUUUUAUCGUUGCAUAUUGGCUUUUAAAAAUCAAUUUAACAUUAAUAUCGACGUAAUAUUGUAACCAUACGUAGCUAUGAUAACUGUCGGGCUGCAGAUGUUUAUGCACUUGUGGGAAUAUAAAAUUUCCGACGUGAAAUGAAGAUCAAACGAAGCAAACGAGUGAAACAAAUCGCUAUUUAUGAUUCAUUUCCCUAUUUCUUUUUUAUUUGCGUAAAAAGUCACAGUCUCGUAAUUACAACGAAUAAAAACUGUAGUCUGAUUUAUCUACGUUCGCCUAAUUAAAAUGUAGUUUGCGUCAAGUAUGAGCAAACGUUCAGAUAUCAUUGAACGAUAGCGAGCUGCAACUUUGAUCAACAUUUUGCAGAAAUACAAAUCCAGACGUCGGAAGAAAUAUGUCAACUAGAAGGAACGAUCUUUUUUGCAAACUGAUCUUUUUUGAUCGUGUUCGCGGAAUAAAUUUUUCUUAGAGUGCGUCACGGAUGGAAGUUCGUGGCUGGCAAUAACCUGGAGAAAUCCAGUUGAAAGGAAAAUAGAGCAGCGAUACGUCAGGACGGAUGCGCUUCAUUUUCAACGGCGUGCAACAGGUCGCGAGAUUUCUUGCCGGAUUAUGGUUCGAACAUACGACAAACUUUUAUCUCCGAACCGGCUCCUGUUCGUACGUUGUACUGGUUUGACGCUUAUACGCUUCUACGAAGCGAAAAUAAAGUCUCGCUUUUGAUGCGCGUUGCCCGAAAAUACCUGAUUUAAUUAUACAGCGCGAAUUUAGAUAUAAUAAACGCGCACGCCUCUUUUUCGUCGGCUCUUGUUAGUAUGCGGUUCAAGUUAGUAUCGAGCUGUUUCGAUGAGCGUCUAUUGCCACUUACUUUUUGCUAAUUAGUCGCGUACAGUUGGUACGUCAGCUACUGUACGUGUUAUAUAUAUUAAUUAAUUAGACACCUUGUGCAAUUCGAUCAAAAGAGUCUAUUAGCUACUUUAAAUAAUCAAAGCAACGUAAUAUAUUCGAUAGAGUAAGUUAAACAUACCUGAAGUCACAUGUGUUCGAUCGAUUAAUAUUUAUCUACCUUUAAUUAUCGUUUUUUUAUUUAUAUUAAGCAAUAUUAAUUAUUCAUAAAUAUUUAUUAAUUGCGUAUGCUUGACUAAGGUUAAAGGCCAACAUUAGACUAAAGAGUUUCCUUUUAAUGUAUAUUUUAUGCAUUUACAAUAAUUUGCAAGUAUCCAAAUAUCUGUGUAUAACAAUAUAGGAUAAUACAUAUGUCGGACAGUACGUGAGAUAAGAUAAUGUGACUUCGAUAGAGAAAAAAUACUUGGAAUAUUGCGACGUUUUCAAGAGUAACCACGUCGCUGUUGCCGUCGUCAGCAUUUCGUGCGAGCAAAGUACCGAAAGAGUAAAUUUUUAAAAUUAGCGAUGCUGGCAGGAGAAGUAGAAAGAGGCAGAGAAGCGAAGAGUAUCUCAUCGAACGAGGUGAGAACCUUGCUGAGCACUGGUCAGCCUCGAAAAUAGACGCCACGAUCGGAACUAUCACGAGAACUAUGCAGAGGCUCAUAGUUCUUCUACAUUCUCGUAAUCGCGUGAAAUUAGGUUUACCUUUAUUUUAUUUUGGUUCAAAUCAAUCACGGAAAUCUAAAAUACAACUCGAUCAUUGCCAAUGUUACCGCUCUAUUUUAAUUUUAAUCUAAGAAAUUACGCGCGAUAUCUACGAUAUACGAUGUUCAAUUUAAUCUAAAAUGCGACGAACAGUGGAAUUAUUUUUGACGAGGUGACUGAACCACUUUCGCGCUUCCGAUGACGGUGAAUCACAGCGAGACAUGUAGAUGCGGAGGAGAAACUCUGUUGACCGAUCCAAACAGGAAACCUCACAGACGAUCAACGCUUCUAAAUAUCUUGACAGAACGCGUAGGCGUGCGUGCCAUUUAACUCGACUGGUCCGCGUUUUCGAGAUAUUUCUCCGUUCCAUUUCUCUACUUACGUACUCGAAUAAAUAUUAAUCCAGAAGAAAGAAGAUAAGAAAUGUAUAAGAAAUGUGAAGAUAAGAUACACUCACGUUCACAAACAUGUAUGAGUAAAGUACAAAAGCUUGUGUAUACCGAUUAAGCUUCCAGAAGAAUUAUCUCGAAUUAAACGACCCUCGUAAGCACUCCGCGCAACGACUGACUAUUUUUUAAACGAACAAUUACAAUCAUACAAGCACAAGAGCAAACUCCUUUAAGACAAGUAGCUGAUUUUCGUGGUGUUUGGACGAAGCUGCGCGAGAUUCUUGUCCCGUUAACUGUUGCGAAUUGUUUGCAACAUUCGCGAUAUUUUAUCUCAACUGAUUCGCAUCCAGUAAGUUACUUUUCGAAGAUAUUCACAUAUAUUAAAUAAUAUUAAAUGUAUUUGUAUAUUUCUGUAACUAAUAUCUACGUCGACAUAUUUCUGUCAAAUUACAUUAGACUUAAGUAAAAAUUACAAAAAUAUAUAUUAUUGUAUAGUGACGAGAUAAUUCCGGGUAAAAAUUCACAGAAACUCGCAUAGCACGGAUCAUUUUUCUUUUGACAUACAUUUUAGAGAGUGCGUCUCUAAGCAACAACAUACGCUUUGAAUCUUGCGCCGGUCUCUUUUGAUUCUUGAGACAUGAGAUUUUGUAAACCGUACUUAUUGCGAAACUCGUAACGAAACUAAACGUUAAACCUGGUUUAUUGACAGUAACGGAAUAUUAAGCAAAUUUAAAUACAAAAUAAAUGUUUACAUUUCUUUGUAGUUACUUAUAACUGUUUAUUAGUCAGUAUAUUUUUAGAAUAAAAUCUCGUUAUAUCUCGAAAUCGAGCUUGGCUUAGAUUAGGUCAAAAUCUUUUCCGGGAAGGGGCGCGGCAUCCUUUACUUCGCGUUUACUUCAAAAUCUUGAAAAUAUAUGUCAAGGUUGAAAUCGUAGAGACUAAAUUUUCUUUUCUAGGAAGAUUAUUUUUAUAAUAUUUCAAAAUCGCUUGUCUAAAGAACCAAAAAAGACUGCCAUGAAAUUCAAAGCGUGUGUUACUUAGAAACGUACCCUUUACGAUAUAUGUCAAAAGGAAAAUAACUCGCGCUAUAUAAAUUUUUCCUCACAUUUACCCAAUUUCGUUAAAAACGAAGUUACGCAUUUUGACCGAUUAGUAAAAAAGAAUUGAGGUAGCGAUUUUCAAUCUUUUCCAUUUCAUGACACGGGCAAACUGAUUACUAAAAUUCUGCGCCACAUCGUCACGCACACAUAUAUAUAUUAUAUUUGAUUAAAAAGAGGGCAUUCGCUCCGACUGGCUAUUAUUAUUUUUAUUUGACAAUCUAAGAGAAAAGCGGUCGUCAGUGCUGCUAACCGAAUAGUCAGGCAUUGUGUGUUGUAAAAACUCGUGCGCCACUAGUUGAAAACUGUGGCGUUAAGGGAUUAGAUAGUAGAUCGAAGUCCUAAGCGCGACCUUAUCCCAGAGCGUUUCCACCUUACGGCCUUAGAGUCGCUCGUAAACGGCAGCACCUAUACACGCGUAAUUUCUGUCGAUAUACCAACCGCCGACACAGUCGAGUAAACCUGCGACACACGUAUACACGCAUCUCUCUUCUCAUCUACAAAGGCGGAGAGCCAGAUAGACGGAGAAGUAGCUGGCGUAAGCGCGGACAGGGAGCAACAUGAGAGCGAGCGUGAAUCUCUUCUCUCUCAUUCUCUCUCGUGCUCUGUAUGCUGGUGCACGUACAGCCGGUCAGACGUUUUACGGUUCGUCGAAUCUUAAGGCGACGACCUCUCCGCGCCGAGGGCAAACGAGCCUACGGAUUUUGUAAUGAUUCCACCUCAACGCCGUUCUUCGAACGGCGUAUCUGACUUCCACUGCUCGAGGAAGAAGUGGGUGUACCAGGGUCAAGCCGUGCUUGUGAAGAGAUGCGCCGCAUCAGUCGUCAUGUCACGGAAUAUCGAAGCGCUUCGGUUGAUAACGAGGUGCAUUCGAUACAAAGUGGCACAGAAAUAAACGUAGUGCACGCUGUCGCACGAAAGCCGGGCGUCUGCUUAUUUUUAACAACAUGUACGUGGCAUAUACAUUAUACAUCAUAACUGAAUAUGAUCGUGACGCGAUUAAUAUUGGUUUUCAAAAACUAAGAUGCAAUAACGAAACUGGUACUUGUAAUCGACGAAGCUUAUAGAACUAUUUUGUUACUUGGCAAAACUUGACGGGUCUUCUAAACAUAUAGAAAGAUUUUAGGUGUCGAUACAGUCAGAUUAUAUUUAAAUGGUAAACACAUGUAGUAGUAUAUGCAUACAAUAAAUAGGAAAAUAUCCUA